UGAGGAAUAUUGGUUAAUUGACGCAAGUCUGAACCAGCCAAGUAGCGUGCAGGAUGACUGCCCUAUGGGUUGUAAACUGCUUUUAUAUGGGGAUAAAGUGGGGAACGUGUUCCCUUUUGCAGGUACCAUAUGAAUAAGGACCGGCUAAUUCCGUGCCAGCAGCCGCGGUAAUACGGAAGGUUCGGGCGUUAUCCGGAUUUAUUGGGUUUAAAGGGAGCGUAGGCCGUUUGGUAAGCGUGUUGUGAAAUGUAGGAGCUCAACUUCUAGAUUGCAGCGCGAACUGUCAGACUUGAGUGCGCACAACGUAGGCGGAAUUCAUGGUGUAGCGGUGAAAUGCUUAGAUAUCAUAAAGAACUCCGAUUGCGAAGGCAGCUUACGGGAGCGCAACUAACGCUGAAGCUCGAAGGUGCGAGUAUCGAACAGG
rnacentral:rRNA from 1 species